CGGGCGGGGAUGAGCCGACUACUCGCGGGAGGAGGGCGGGAGUCCGGCUGCGGGGCGGAGGGGAGGGCUCGGAGGAGGCGCUCGGGUGCCGGGACCCUCGGGCGCCGCCGGGGAGCGCGGGCCCCAGUGCGGGGGGCGGGGGGGGCGCGGCCCCGGGGAGCCCUGGAGGAGUCUCGUCCGAGCCCUUCUCAGGGAUCCUGCGGGACUUCCCCGCAGAUGCGGGUGCGAGUGAGUUAAUUCAUCGGAAGGCGGCUCGCGGCCUGAGAGCGACGCGGGAGACUGGGGGUGCGGCGUGGGGGAGGGUAAAUCGCCUCCUUCCGACCGACGCGGCGCUCUCGGUGGCAGAGGAAGGCGUGGGGCCGGGCAGAGCAUGGAGAUGGUCUUGCCCGGGCCUCUCGGGCACCCAGCCUGCUGAAACGAGGCCUGGGAGCGCGUCUCCGGCAAGCCCUCUGAGGUCCCACCGCGCCGAGCGCCCUCGGUUCUUUCCACACCGGCUCUGCCGCUUCUGCAGCGAGGCCUGGGACCGAUGACUCACCCUGCCGGCUAAUUACAGCGUUAAAUAACUUCGCGCUGGAUCCCGGGGAAGCGGGCGGCGCGGCAGCUAGGGAACGCGGCGCGGGAGGAGGGGCCGGGGGAGAGGCAGGGGUGCUUUGAGAACACACACCCGUUCCUGCCGCCCGCUCGGCGAGUUCUGGCCUGUGGAGGCUCCCCCAGAGCUCACAGCGUCGGGCCCUUUCCUGCAGUGUCCAGCGGUGCCCGGUGAGCAGGGGCACCAGCCCCCAGAGGGCCCUCGCGUCUGGAGGAAGCCUCACCCACAUUCGCCAGGCAGCCCGCGCAAGGGGACCCUCGCCCACGUUUCACGGAAACCAUCUGCCCAGUGAAUAUAUGUGAAGGCCUUUCGUGCGUCUCUCUGGACAUUUGCGUGGGACGGACGUGAACGGCGGUGGCUGUGCGGAGAAGGAGCAGGGAGACGAGGUUUGCAGCCACCUCCGUGGAGGAAGGAGCAGCUUCUCCAUUCCUUACACUGUGCUGCGGCAGCCGGAUUGAUGAGGCUUUGCGGGAGGAAGUGAGCUGCCUUGGCUGGUCCUGAGCCCCGCCAGGAUGGAGGCCUGGGUUGGCCUGGGCGAGCUGCAGGCGGCCUUGCAGCAGCCUCUCAAGUCCGAGGACCCAGGCAGGCUCGUGGUUUAGGAUUCCUCCAGGAUCUGGCCUCCUCUCUCCUCCAGAGCCUGUGUCUGCCAGCCCUUCGCUCGACCCCUGGCCACUGCCCUAUCCCUUAAAUGAGUGGUGCCUCUUACCAAAGCAAGCCCUCGGCAUAUGCUGUUCCCGUUUCUGCUUUAUGUUCCCCAGGCCACAUCCUCAGCCGGCUUCUGCUGUCCCCUUUCUUAGACCUUAGCUUCAGCUCCCUUAAUUGCCCUAACUUCUAUUGGGUGCCCACCCUCCUUUGAACAGUGGAAAGAGUGCCCCCAAAGACUUUCCUGUUUAGUCCUGGCAACGAGCCCUGAGGCAGGUGGGCCUGCUAUCCUCACAGAGGUUUUCCACCCCAAACCCAGACUCUGCCCACCUCCCUGGCCCCCACCUCCCUGCACCCUUUCCUUCCUGCACCCCUCCUCCUUGCACCCCUGCCUCCCUGCCCCUCAGCUUCUGGACAAAGUUCCCCCAUAACAGGCAGGAUCUCCCAGUGGUCUAAAUGUCUGUCUUCCCAACCAUAUUGGGGGCUCAGUGCAAGCAGGGUCCAUGCCCAGCUUGACCCCACCCCCUCCCCAUCAGGACUCCAUCAGGCCCGUCCUGGCCAUGUGGAAUGGACAGGUGAGCAGAUGGAUGAGUGAGUGGACUGCCGCCGACCUGGGGGUGCCCUGUCCUGUGACACCAUCUAGUGUCAGUCCAGUUUUGCUCACAAGAACAGGGCCAGGUGACACAGACAGGUCCGCAGGACGGCGAGGACCCACCUCCCUGCUGCAGUGAGGGGGGGCACUCUGGCCAGGAGCCAGAAGCAGAACUGUGGAGCCCUGCAAGGCAGAAUGACCAGCAGGCGUCCUGCCGUGACGGGCCUUGAGCUGCGCGAGUUCGGACUUCAUCCCGAGGGAGGAAGGGACAGCAGCCUGCAGUCCCUGCCACACACGGCUCCCAGGGACCCUGUAGCCGCGCCACGCUCACCUCCGCAACCCAUGCGUAGUUCGAAAGUUAACUCCACUGCUUUCUUCUAAUGGCUGUGCUGGGUCUUUGUUGCUGCUCAUGGGCUUUCUGCAGUUGUGGCAAGUGGGGCCUGCUCUCCAGGCGUAGUGUUUGGGGCUCACUGCCGUGGUUUUGGGGUGCAGAGCAUGGGCCCUAGGGCUCCCGGGCUUCAGCAGUUGCGGCUCAGGCCUGGUAGUUGCGGCUCGCGGGCUGUGUUGUCCCGAGGUGUGUAGGACCUUCUCAGACCAGGACUCGAGCCCAUGUCCCCUGCGCUGGCAGGUGGAUGCUUUACCGCUGAGCCACCAGAGAGGCCCUCCCCUGCUUUCUGGCAGAGUCCUUUCCCCCCGCCCCCAACAGGCUCACCUGUGAAGCUUGUGCCCCACCACAGCCCCUGGCACAGCGGGGUCCAGGGGGUGACUUGAGGGCUGGGGUGAACUCUGAGGCAGGGAGCUCAUGCCAGAAAGAAGCAGCGCUCUCAUGAGAAAUGACUCUACAUGGGGAGGGGUGGGUGGCAAGGAGUGAUUUUGAGAAUCACAAACCCUACCACAUACCAAGCGAGUUCACAGGGACCCUUGUGGUGCCUCUGUGUGGGCACAUCACAGCCACACUCUAAACACAGGGCCAGAGAGGACAGUGUUUUCAAAGCGCCACGUUUUUAUAGCAGUAAGCACGUGUCAAGUGAAGAGUGUUUGUCGUAUUACCGUUAAAUUUCAUUUUAAUAUUUGCAUAUUUACUAGCAUUUAAAAUUCAGCUUCCUGCAGUGUUUACUUCAGUUAAUUUGGCUGAAUUCUGAUUGUUUUUCUAAUUUGUCUUUCACCUUACCUUCCAAUAUUCCAUCCUUUGCCUUUUUAGCUGGCUAAGAGCUCAGAUUUCUCUUUCAUUAUUAAUUCUAAGCCCCUUUUUUAGGGACGAUCAGCAUAGAUCUUCCUGCAGAAGUGCAGCCACCUCUGCACAGGUGAGGGCUCACCUGAGGAACGCAGUCUCACAAACUCAGAGCCUGUGAACUCUUGGAGACACAGAAGCCAAAUCAGGAAGCAGGACGCUGCCGACUCAAGCACGCGGCCCACCUCGCCCUCCCCCAGCGGCCCUGCUGACCUCAGUGAACGGCCUCCUGUGUCUGUCUGUGCUUCAGUCACCUAAGCACACGUCCCUGAACGUUUCGGUUUGGCUUUGCCCGUUUUUUUUUUUUUUAAUACAAGUGGAAUCAUAACGCUGAUCGUUGCACACCUUGUUUCUUUCGUCCAACUUGGUGCCUGUUGUUGUGUCUGCUCUUUAUCUCUGUCACAGCUGGUACUGAGCCAUUGUGUGAAGGUGCCACAGUUUAUCCACAUUACUGAUGAUGAGCAUUUGAUUGUUUCUAGUUUGGGAUAUGAUGAAUAAAGCUGUUGUGAACUUUC